rnacentral:rRNA from 1 species
GACGAACGCUGGCGGCGCGCUUAACACAUGCCAGUCGAACGGAAAGGCCUGCUUUCCCUUGUGGAUUGCGGGUACUCGAGUGGCGAACGGGUGAGUAACACGUGAGUGAUCUGCCCCCAACUUGGGUAUAAGCCUGGGAAACUGGGUCUAAUUCCCGAUAGGACUGCAGGGUGGUGCCUGUGGUGGAAAACGAUUUUCUAGUGGUUGGGGAUGAGCUCGCGGCCUAUCAGCUUGUUGGUGGGGUAAUGGCCUGCCAAGGCGGCGACGGGUAGCCAGACUGAGAGGGUGGACGGCGACAUUGGGACUGAGACACGGCCCCGACUCCUACGAGAGGCAGCGGUGGGGAAUAAUGGACAAUGGGCGGAAGCCUGAUGCAGCGACGCCGCGUGGGGGAUGUCGGCCUUCGGGUUGUAAACUCCUUGCGACCGCGAGGAAGCCACCUGGUUGGAAGGGUGGUGACGGUAGUGGUAGAAGAAGCACCGGCUAACUACGUG